rnacentral:rRNA from 1 species
CCCUUAGAUGUUCUGGGCCGCACGCGUGCUACACUGAGUGGAUCAGCGGGUCAGGUUGCGCGAAAGUGUUUCCUAAUCUUGAAAUCCGCUCGUGAUGGGGAUUGACGGUUGCAAUUUUCCGUCAUGAACGAGGAAUACCUUGUAAGCGCGGGUCAUCAUCCCGCGCUGAAUACGUCCCUGCCCUUUGUACACACCGCCCGUCGCUCCUACCAAUUGAGUGGUCCGGUGAGGCUUUGGGAUCUGAGCAAAAAGAGCGUUUCGCUCGUUUGGCUCGGAAAACUCAGUCGAACCUUAUCAUUUAGAGGAAGGAGAAGUCGUAACA